UACAGAGGGUGCGAGCGUUAAUCGGAAUUACUGGGCGUAAAGCGCGCGUAGGCGGCUUUUCAAGUCGAUUGUGAAAUCCCCGGGCUUAACCUGGGAACUGCAGUCGAGACUGUCUAGCUAGAGUAUGGGAGAGGGAAGUGGAAUUUCAGGUGUAGCGGUGAAAUGCGUAGAUAUCUGAAGGAACAUCAGUGGCGAAAGCGACUUCCUGGACCAAUACUGACGCUCAUGUGCGAAAGCGUGGGGAGCAACAGG
rnacentral:rRNA from 1 species